CGCUCGUCUUGUUAUUCCUGUAUCUAAACAAGAUUUUUUUUUUUUUGUUUGUUUCUCGGAAAUCAUUUACAUAGAUUUGGCCAUUGGGCGUGGUUUAAUUCGUUCAGGUGCCGUAAUUAUUUGUUACUUAUCUACAAAAUGGCUAAGAUGAUUCCUUCCUGUCUACUGAACGACCUGAAAUCAGAUUGCUCUAGAAUGGUGGAUACCAAACUGUUUUUUGUUUUUUCUCUGGGCCACAUUUUCGGAUUGAUAAGAAAUACCAAAUCCGAAAACUCCUGGAAAAUUCUACAUGUUUCUAUACUUAUCUUUACCAUAUUAUAUUUAGCAUAUAACAAAAUGAAUAAAAAUACUACUUUCAUAUUUUUAGCAGCUCCAAAAUU
rnacentral:lncRNA from 1 species